AAUUCUGUAUUCAACGUUCAAGCCCCUUGUUUAAGAUGCAAAAAUGGAAAAGCAUGAAAACGUGGCCAAGGGGCAGAUCCAAGGAACUGAUGACUUUUUGCAUUGGGUGAAUGGAGGAGGCCACCGGUGACUUAAGGAGAUGCCUGGGAAGGGGAAGUUGGUUGAGGUGAGGAAAAGUUGAAGAAAGGAGAUCCUAGUGGAACAGCCACUUUCCUCCAGGAGAGGGGAUUCCAGGGCUGAGGACAGAGGGUAGAACCUCACUUGCUGCAUCCUAUUCCCAGCUCUGGCAGGCACAGACUAAGUGCUUCACAAACAAUCGUCAUAACUAUCAUUUGGGUGAAAGGAAAGAAAGGUUGAAGCUUUGUGACGAAGCUCAUUUGAGCCCUGCCUCAAGGCCAAAAGGAGAGGAAGCCCUAUGCUUGCAACAACAAACAUUCUAAUACACUCUAAGAGGUAAACAUUAUCUCUGUCAUACAAAUGAAUUUGUAUCCCACUCUGUCUCUUACUAGCUGGGAGACCUUUGGGCAACUUAAUUACCCUCUCUGAGCCCAAAUUUUCUAAUUUGUAAAAUAGAAAUAAUAGUUGUACCUUCCCCACAGCCCUCUCCUAUUGCUCCGAUUAGACCCCUACCCUGGGAACCUCUAUAUGCCAUGGGUGUGGCCCUAAAAAGACAAAAAAAAAAGAGCAUAUUCUUAUAUACUCUUUCAGGU
rnacentral:lncRNA from 9 species